AUAAAUAGUCUAUUUAAAAUGAAACAAAUUAAUGUAUUGUGAUGAAAGGAUGACAAAGCAUAUAAGGAGUUCUAAACUGGACUGUGACAGUAUUUCCCUGGGUUUUGUGAUGCUGAGACACAGCUUCCUGCUAUGAAGAUCUCAUCCAUUCUGCCUACAAUUAUCUUUUUGUCACUUUUGAUUGCCUCUGGUUUCACACAUGAGGCAAUUGACUUCGAUGCCAAUUGUCGGCGGUCUGGAGGGCAGUGCAAACCAUUGGGGUGUGAAAAGCCCUAUAUAGCAGUAGGAAAAUGUAAAAGAAAUGCACCUUGCUGUGUUUCAGAGUAAGUAC